GAAUAUUUAUAUAAGACGAGAAGACCCUAUGGAGCUUUAAAUAAUUGCAACAUGUAUUUUUAUUAUUUAACUUUAUGAAAAACCUAUAUCUAAACACUUUGAUUGCUAAUUUUUGGUUGGGGUGACCGCGGAGCAUAAAAUAACCUCCAUAAUGAAAGAAAUUAUUUUUCUAAACCCUAGAGCUACAACUCAAUGUAUUAUUAAAUUAACAUCCUUUGAUCCAAUAUAUUGAUCAACGAACAAAGUUACCCUAGGGAUAACAGCGCAAUCUACUUCAAGAGCUCCUAUCGACAAGUAGGUUUACGACCUCGAUGUUGGAUCAGGGUAUCCUAGUGGUGCAGCCGCU
rnacentral:rRNA from 1 species